CCCAUCCUCUAGUCUUUUCAGGUCCAGUCGAGCCCCUUCAAACAAGAUGGCGGCUUCCGCGGAGCAUCCCUUGCCUGAGCCUCCCAAGCCCUUACUUGGGCUCCUAAAUGGUAUCGCUCAGGCCACCUUUUACGGCAACACAGAGAUCACGGAAGAGCUGCUGCGGGAGCAGCUUUACCCGGAAACGGCGUCGCAGGAAUUUGGAGUUCUCCUGGCUAAAAUGAAAGGAAUCGUCAAGUCGAUAGCUUCAGCUGACAUGGAUUCAAAUCAACUAGAAGCUUUUCUGACUGCACAAACAAAGAAACCAGGGGGGAUCACAACCGAUCAUGCUAUAGUUAUUGCAAAAUUUUGGAAGAACCAACGAGCAAAAAUUCAUGAGAGUCUUAUAAAUCAAAGCAAGUGGGAAAAUAGCUUGAAAAACAUAAGCUGGAGAGUAGAUUUAAAAACACAGUCAAGACACAUUGACCAGAUGAACAGUCCUGUGGCAAUAGUUGAAAUGGAACUUCAGAAAAAUGGACAGCCAACGUCAAAGCAGGGGAAGGGGGGACCAAACCACAAAAACAAAAUGGAAAUUUUCCUCUUCUCUUGCAAAAGCGUACCUGCCAGGAGAAAUCCACUCUCCUGAAUGCCUUCUCAGCAUUCAUUUUCCUGGCCUUCCAUUUGCCUGAAUUGACAGGAAUCUGAGCUUUUGACCAUGGAAUUUGAUGAGACCGAAUUGAAUGAAAUGUUGAAAAAACUUUCAGAGAUUGAAGACAGCAUUAUUUCUCUGACCCAAGCAUCCUGACUUUUCACUUAAAACAGUGUUUGAGUCAUACUAAGGUUAACCUUAGUUAUACGUGUAGAUAUCAUACUGUUCUUUCAGCAGUGUUUGAAAACUAAUACAUAAACAUGGGAUCAAAGAGGAGAAAAAAAGAUAACGGAGGCAUUCAAACUAAUGUACAUUAAAGCAAAAGAACAUAGCUGAAUUCAUUGAAAGAAUAUAUUCCUCCAGAAAAAUGCUGAAUAAAAGAGCAAAUAUAUUCACCUUUUCCAUUACUUUUCACCUUUUCCAUUACUGACAUCACUGUAUUCAUCCAGCCACUGAAAAGCCAUUUGUAGCAAUGGUGGCUGUACAUUUGUAGAUCCAGGAGAGGGAACUCCAUAAAAAAAUUAUUUUUCUUUAUUUUGCUUCAUAUUUUCACCUGUUCAAAAUGGGUUGUUACUUGAGGAAAAUGAAACAGUAGUGUAUUUUAGUUUUUUCCAUUUCUGUAGCACAAAACCUAGCUAUAAACACUAAUAAAAGGUGGUCAUUUUUUAAAAAAAACUAUAUAAAGUUCAUUAGCAAUAGAGAGUAAAUACUGUAUGUAUUCACAAGCAUUUUCAGCAUUAAUUGUUUCAUUAUCUCAGCAGUAUAGUAUUGAAUGCUACAGAACUUAUUGAAAAUGCAGAGUAUAUGGACAAAACAUUAAAGAGAAAUGGAUAUCAACUCUAGAA